GAGCAGCUGGACCCAAGGCUGGUGCAGCGGCUGCUGGGGCUGGAGCAGCUGGAGAAGCAGCAGGGCGGGGCUGGGCGGAGGCUGCCGCUGCUCAGCACCCCCCGGCGGGAGCGGGUGGCCCUGCUGCGCCAGCUGGAGGAGACGCGCAGCGAGCUGCAGAAGCUGAAGGAGAGGCAGAAGGAGCUAGAAGCCGCGGCGCUGCUGGACAAGGCCUGUCAGCCCAAGCCCCUGCACCACAGCAAGGCCCCACCCCGGGCCCGGAAACAGGCUGUGGUGCUGCCCCUGCAGCAAGAGCCAGGAUGGAACCCAGGAGUCCUGGCUCC